rnacentral:lncRNA from 1 species
GGGGACAGAGCAGCUGUUCUCUCUGACUCUUUCCCAUCAUUUGACCGGUUUUUAAUCCGCAACAAUGCUUCCAAAAUUGAAAAUGGAACCCGGUUGGAUUCUUGAGCAGGGCUGACCAAGUGCAGGGCUGGCUGGGCACCGCGCGGUGGGUGCCAGGACGAAGAUGAAUCUCUGUGAUGCCCAGACUCCUGGCGAAGCAGAAGCCGGGCUGCCAGCCAGCGCCUGCAUGUUCCUGGGCAAAGGACGCUUUAUCCUGACAAACCCAGACAUCUCAUGACCCUCCCCAAGAUCCCUUUGGUUCCCUCUCAGUCACCAACAGACUAUCUGGGAGAUUUCCUUAAUUUAUGUGGAAGGCACUGAUGUAGGAGACAAAUUUUCAUCAGGAGGCGGUGCCUGCCUGCCACUCUUGAGUUCAUUCUAAUUUCUAUUCAUGUAAAAUAUUUCUCAAGAUUUCCUCCAGGCAUUUAGGCUUCGUUUUUAAAACUGUGAUAAAACACAUGUAACAUAAAAUUUACCAUCUUACCAUUUCUAGGUGUGCAGCGCAGUGGCAUGAAGUACACUCUCAAUGUUGUGCAGCCAACACCACCAUCCGUCUCCAAAAUGUUUUCAUCUUUUAAAACAGAAACUCUCACCCCAUGAAACAAACUGUCUAUUCCUCCCACCCCUGAAACCUGACAACCACCAUUCACAGAAACUCUGUCCUCAUGAAACAAACUGUCCAUUCCUCCUGCCCCGGGCCCCCCGACAACCGCCAUUCACAGAAACUCUGGCCCCAUGAAACAAACUGUCCAUUACUCCUGCCCCCGGCCCCCUGACAACCACCAUUCACAGAAAUUCUGUCCUCAUGAAACGAACUGUCCAUUCCUCCCACCCCUGACCCCCGACAACCACCAUUCACAGAAACUCUGUCCUCAUAAAACAAACUGUCCAUUCCUCCUGCCCCCGGCCCCCGACAACCACCAUUCACAGAAACUCUGUCCUCAUGAAACAAACUGUCCAUUCCUCCCACCCCCGACCCCUGACAACCACCAUUCCACUUCCUGUCUCUAUAAAUCUGACCCCUCUAGGAAAUUUAUGCAGGUGGAAGUACACAGUAUUUGUGCUUUUGUGACUGGCUUAUUUUACUGAGUAUAAGGUCUUUAAGGUUCAUGCAUGUUGUAGCAUGUGUUGGCGUUUCCUUCCUUUUCAAGGCUGAAUCCCAUUCCAUUCCACGGAUACACGAUAUUUUAUUUCUCCAUUAAUUCACUGAUGGAUGCUCGGGUUGCUUUUACCUUUUGGUUAUGGUGAAUAAUGCUGCUAUAAACAUGGGGGUGUGAGUAUCUGUGCAAGUUCCUGCUUCCACUUCUUUGGGGUAUAUACCCGUAAGUGAAAUGGCCGAAUCACACGGUAAUUCUGGUUUUAAUUUUCCAUAGUGACUGUACCGUUUGACAUUCCCACCAACACUGCAUGAGGAUUCAAAUGUUUCCCCGUUCUCACCCACACUUGUGAUUUUGUUUUUUUGCUAGGAGCCAUUCUAAUGGAUCUGAAGUGGCAUCUCAUUGUGGUCAGACCAAUUUUUAAAAGUCAAAAACAAGGCUGGGCGAGAUGGCUCCCGCCUGUAAUCCCAGCACUUAGGGAGGCCGAGGCAGGUGGAUCACAAAGUCAGAAGAUCGAGACCAUCCUGGCUAACACGGUAAAACCCCGUCUCUACUAAAAAUACAAAAAAAUAUUAGCCAGGCAUGGUGGUGAGCACCUGUAGUCCCAGCUGCUCAGGAGGCUGAGGCAGGAGAGUGGCAUGAACUCAGGAGGCAAAGUUUGCAGUGAGCCGAGAUGGCGCUACUGCACUCCUGCCUGGACAACAGAGUGAGACUCGGUCUCAAAAAAAAAAAAAAAAAAAA